rnacentral:rRNA from 1 species
AACGCAAUGUUCUUUGGUGGUGUUUACUACAUGGGAUAACCGUAGUAAUUCCAGAGCUAAUACCUGGGUAAAUCCCGACUUCUGAAGGGACGUAUUUGUUAAAUAAAGACCGACCUCGUUCUGCGGUGAAUCGUGAUAACUUUACGGACCGCAUGGCCUCGCGCCGGCGGUGUUCCAUUCAAAUUUCUGCCCUAUCAACUUUCGACGGUAGGAUAAAGGCCUACCGUGGUGUUCACGGGUGACGGAAAAUUAGGGUUCGAUUCCGGAGAGGGAGCCUGAA